CCUACGGGUGGCAGCAGUGAGGAAUAUUGCACAAUGGGGGAGACCCUGAUGCAGCGACGCCGCGUGAGUGAAGAAGUAUUUCGGUGUGGAAAGCUCUAUCAGCAGGGAAGAAACUGACGGUACCUGAUUAAGAAGCCCCGGCUAACUACGUGCAAGCAGCCGCGGUAAUACGUAGGGGACAAGCGUUAUCCGGAUUUACUGGGUGGAAAGGGGGCGUAGACGGCAGCGUAAGUCUGAAGUGAAAUGCCGGGGCUUAACCCCCGAACUGCCGUGGAAACUGUGCAGCUAGAGUGCAGGAGAGGUAAGCGGAAUUCCUAGUGUAGCGGUGAAAUGCGUAGAUAUUAGGCGGAACACCAGUGGCGAAGGCGGCUUACCGGACUGCAACUGACGUUGAGGCUCGAAAGCGUGGGGAGCAAACAGGAUUAGAUACCCUAGUAGUC
rnacentral:rRNA from 1 species